GCGCUAUCGGAGCCCCCCCAACACGUUAUAUGGAUGUUAUAUAACUGCAAUUUUGUAUGAGUGGGAAAUUAAAACUAACAUGCAAGUUACAUGUAACGCACAUGUUAUGUUGCCGUUACUUUCUGUUUCAUUAAUCUAAUCAAGCGAUGCGGUAGCGUCGCGACGCCAGGUAUAAAAAAAAAGUUUGUCAAAAUUUGUGACUACGGCACUGGCAUUUCGAAGCGCUACCGCAGUAUCGACCGCAUCGAAGCGCUACCGUUAGCUUUAUCUCGAGUUUUCGCCUUGCCCAUUUUUUCCGUUCAAUUAACUCGGAUUUACUCGGAAACAAAGGUUAUAAUGAAAAAAAUUCUAAUGAUACUUUUAUAAUGAUUUUUUUUUAGCUUUCGAUUGCGACCGGUCUGAAUGAAAUCGGUUCAGUCAAUCCCGAGAUUUCGACAGCGAGUCUAUGAAAAGUGUCACUUCGACGAUUCAGUUUUCAGUGUUCGUCUUCUUGUCGUUCAGUCUCGCGAGUGUCCGCCAAAGCGCAUUUACAACGCUCAAGACGGGCGACUGUCCGUCAAGAUGGGUUCUUAUGUGAGGUUAUGCAUUAUGUAGCUACCUAAUUGAGAGAGCGCUCGAGAGAGAGAGGAGAGAGAGAUAUGCAUUAUGUAGCUACCUAAUUGAGAGAGCGCUCGAGAGAGAGAGGAGAGAGAGAGAGAGAGAGAGAGAGAGAGAGAAAGUAUAAUGCUUUUGUAUUUUCUUCCUUGAUUAGUCCGUCUCAUUAAACGAUUGCGAUACGACUCUUUUACUGCGACUCCAUUAUAGACGCCGCUUUAUGUUUCUAAAAAUAUUUAUAAAAUGUUGAUAUAUAUUUCAUAAACAUUAUUAGAAAUAAAAGUAUAUUUUUACAAGUUAUGUAGUGUGCGCGCGACAUGCGAUCGCCGCGAUCUCAUCUUUUCGAUCGUCUGUGUGUGUGUAUGUGUGUGUUGUGUGUGUGUGUGUAUGUGUGUGUGUGCGCGCCCACUGUCACCAUGUGCCUCCCGUGUGCCGGCUUUUUUGUUCCAACUAUGCAAUGUUUAUCAAGGUAAUGUCUUUUCAUAAUUAAUAUGACAUAAUAAUUAAUAUGACAUAAAAUAUUAACGAAUAUCGGAGAUAUCUAUAUGUAUAUACAUAUAUAAAUUUUAUAUGUAAUAAAACGUGAUAUGUAUAUACAAUUAAGUGAGGUUAGAAUCGUCCUCUUUCUUCUCUAUUGAGAAGGAGCCUGUAUGUACAAAUGUUCGUUGUUCAUUAUAUCAUUUUUGACAUAGAUAUGAGAUUAUUAUAAUUAUAUAUCUUAUUACAGAAUAAUAUUCCUAAUAAGUUUGAAAUAAAAGUUGGCCGAAACAAUAUUUUGGAAGAUUCGUACCACAUAUUAUAAGCUCGAAUCCGUUAAGAGUUGAUAUUCUAAAAACGAAAUUAUGGGUAGAAUUUAAAGGAGAGAUAGGCUUAGAUUACGGUGGCCUUGCAAGAGAAUGGUUCUUUUUAUUGUCUAAAGAAAUGUUUAAUCCAUACUAUGGACUUUUUGAGUAUUCUGCAACCCAUAAUUAUACACUGCAAAUUAAUCCUUGUUCUGGUGUAUGUAAUGAGGAGCAUUUAAAUUAUUUUAAAUUUAUUGGACGUAUAGCAGGAAUGGCUGUUUAGGGGUGCGCACGAUUGGACACCGCACGAUUGGACACCACCACUCACAGCGGCCGAUGCCUAGAGUUUUUCCGUUGGUUUGGUUAGAUAAGUCAAGAUGAUUGGUUGGUGUCCAAUCGUGCUGUGUCCAAAAGAGUGUCACCCGGCUGUUUAUCAUGGUAAACUUCUGCGAUGCUUUCCUUAUUCGACCAUUUUAUAAAAUAAUGUUGGCUAAACCAAUUGAUCUGAAAGAUAUGGAGAGUGUUGAUUCUGAAUAUUACAACUCUCUUCUAUGAAUUAAUGAAAACGAUUCCAGUGAAUUAGAACUCACUUUAAGCCUUGACGAAGAAAGCUUUGGUCAUACUUCCCAAAGAGACUUAAAGCCGAAUAGUGCUAAUAUUCCUUUGACCGAUGAAAAUAAGGACGAGUAUAUAAGUUUAGUUAUUUGGCUGCUAUAACAAUGUGAUAUUACGAUAUUAAUUUAUUAAUUGAGUCUUUUCUUGGUUAAUAAGAUUAUAGUGUUGUUAUGAAAUGCAAUUUAUGUAUAUGGCUGUAUAUGGUAAAAUUUUGACAAAUUGUUUUCAAAUGACAUUGUAAUCAUGUAGAAAUGAGAACAAUCAAUGUCAUUUUGACUUAAACAUUCUCUGCAUAUAGAUAUACCUUCUUUUUUCCACAUUCAAAUCAUGAGAUGUUAUUAUAAUGUUAUUUUGUUGUCAAUAAAUUCAAUUCUUUAAAUUUGCACUCACAUAAAACCAAAUUUUGGCAAAAAAUUAUUGUCUCGAUACAUUCUAUAUAAAUAAAA